GGAGAAUCUUUUGUAUAUCACAUAACACGCGCUCAAAACUGAUGAACAAUAUAAUACUUUCCCACCUGGUUAUGACUAUAUAUUCCAAUUUUUAAAUUUUUAAUACGUUUCUCAAGCGGCAAACAAACUUAAAAAGUAUGUUCAGUGCUUUAUCUGUAAAAUAAUGCUAAAAUGAAGAGAUUUUAGAUGGUACGCCAAAGUGGCAAAGAGAUGUCUGAAGUUCACUAGUAAGUUUUGCUUGUAUUGCUGUAUAAAUAUGGCGUCAAUUUUACAGCAUCGAUGAUAAUUGUAUUUACAUAAUUACAUUGACAAUAUUUAACUAUUAUUUUGUGUUUCUCAACCGCCAGAUACAUUUAAAACUGUGUAAACUACAAAAUGAAGCUAAAACAAAGCAAUUUUGAGAGGAACACCAAAACGAUUUUAUGUUUUGAACACUUUUUGUCGCAAAUAGUCCAAAUACGCGACAUUAAAAAGUUGCCUCUUAAUAUACUCUUACCCUAAUGGUCCUAAUGAUCAGAUUGACAUAAUUCUUUGAGACCCUCCCCGCCUGCCUGUUUUAUGACCCUCGGCUCAAAAAACUUAUGACCCUCACCUGCUUUCUACCUCUCCUCCCCCCUCCCCCGCCUUGCUAUUAAUUUCUGGCAAAUCUAUAAUAAUAAUAAUAUUAUAAAUUAUAAUACUGUUGUAUUUACAGUGCAAUAAAAUCAAUUCAUUUUUUGGUAUUUCGAAAUAUUUUCCCAUGACCAGGCACAAUAAAAUCUGCUUUGCGAAGGAUCGUUUCACGAUUCAACCUCUGCACCUCUGGGUUUUCACUAUACUGCUUCCACAGAUCAUCUCGCGCGAGAUCCUCUUCUUUCUCAAAUAAAUCUCCCGUGAUAGCUACCACUCCAUACCACGUGUUCUCCACAAUCACGCUUACGUCACUGUUGGUAUGGCCAGGCGUUGGAAUUACCUCCACUCC
rnacentral:lncRNA from 1 species